CCUACGGGAGGCAGCAGUGAGGAAUAUUGGUCAAUGGGCGGGAGCCUGAACCAGCCAAGCCGCGUGAGGGAAGAAGGUACAGCGUAUCGUAAACCUCUUUUGUCAGGGAACAAAGGCGGGGACUAGUCCCCGGAUGAGGGUACCUGAAGAAAAAGCAUCGGCUAACUCCGUGCCAGCAGCCGCGUUAAUACGGAGGAUGCGAGCGGUAUCCGGAUUUAUUGGGUUGAAAGGGUGCGCAGGCGGAGUGUUAAGUGAGCGGGAAAAGCCCGGGGCUCAACCACGGCCAGCCGUUGAAACUGGGCGGCUGGAGUUGGAGAGAGGUACGCGGAAUGCGCGGUGUAGCGGGGAAAUGCUUAGAUAUCGCGCAGAACCCCGAUGGCGAAGGCAGCGUACCGGCUCCACACUGACGCUGAGGCACGAAAGCGUGGGUAUCGAACAGGAUUAGAUACCCCAGUAGUC
rnacentral:rRNA from 1 species